CAGUAGCCACGGUAAUACGAAGGGUGCAAGCGUUAAUCGGAAUUACUGGGCGUAAAGCGUGCGUAGGCGGUGAGUUAAGUCUGCUGUGAAAUCCCCGGGCUCAACCUGGGAAUGGCAAUGGAUACUGGCAAGCUAGAGUGUGUCAGAGGAUGGUGGAAUUCCCGGUGUAGCGGUGAAAUGCGUAGAGAUCGGGAGGAACAUCAGUGGCGAAGGCGGCCAUCUGGGACAACACUGACGCUGAGGCACGAAAGCGUGGGGAGCAAACAGGAUUAGAGACCCCCGUAGUCCCUGUCUCUUAUAA
rnacentral:rRNA from 1 species